GACGAACGCUGGCGGCGUGCCUAAUACAUGCAAGUCGAACGCACAGUUUAUACCGUAGCUUGCUACACCAUAGACUGUGAGUUGCGAACGGGUGAGUAACGCGUAGGUAACCUGCUUGGUAGCGGGGGAUAACUAUUGGAAACGAUAGCUAAUACCGCAUAAUAUUAAUUAUUGCAUGAUAAUUAAUUGAAAGGUGCAAUUGCACCACUACCAGAUGGACCUGCGUUGUAUUAGCUAGUAGGUGAGGUAACGGCUCACCUAGGCGACGAUACAUAGCCGACCUGAGAGGGUGAUCGGCCACACUGGGACUGAGACACGGCCCAGACUCCUACGGGAGGCAGCAGUAGGGAAUCUUCGGCAAUGGACGAAAGUCUGACCGAGCAACGCCGCGUGAGUGAAGAAGGUUUUCGGAUCGUAAAGCUCUGUUGUAAGAGAAGAACGGGUGUGAGAGUGGAAAGUUCACACUGUGACGGUAUCUGACCAGAAAGGGACGGCUAACUACGUG
rnacentral:rRNA from 1 species